rnacentral:rRNA from 1 species
UACGUAGGGGGCAAGCGUUGUCCGGAACUAUUGGGCGUAAAGCGCGCGCAGGCGGACUUGUAAGUCUGGUGUCUAAGACUGGGGCUCAACCCUGGAACGCACCGGAAACUGCAAGACUGGAGUGCAGGAGAGGAAAGUGGAAUUCCACGUGUAGCGGUGAAAUGCGUAGAGGUGUGGAGGAACACCAGUGGCGAAGGCGACUUUCUGGCCUGUAACUGACGCUGAGGCGCGAAAGCGUGGGGAGCAAACAGG